rnacentral:rRNA from 1 species
GUGACAGCCGCCGCGGUAAUACGUAGGGGACGAGCGUUGUUCGGAAUUAUUGGGCGUAAAGAGCGUGUAGGCGGCCCAGUAAGUCAGAUGUGAAAUCCCUUGGCUUAACCAAGGAGGGGCAUUUGAAACUGCUGGGCUUGAGUACGGGAGGGGGAAGUGGAAUUCCCGGUGUAGAGGUGAAAUUCGUAGAUAUCGGGAGGAACAUCAGUGGCGAAGGCGGCUUCCUGGAUCGAUACUGACGCUGAGACGCGAAAGCGUGGGGAGCAAACAGGAUUAGAAACCCGCGUAGUCC